GACGUAGGGUGCGAGCGUUGUCCGGAUUUAUUGGGCGUAAAGAGCUCGUAGGCGGCUUGUCGCGUCGACCGUGAAAACUUGGGGCUCAACCCCAAGCCUGCGGUCGAUACGGGCAGGCUAGAGUUCGGUAGGGGAGACUGGAAUUCCUGGUGUAGCGGUGAAAUGCGCAGAUAUCAGGAGGAACACCGGUGGCGAAGGCGGUUCUCUGGGCAUUACCUGACGCUGAGGAGCGAAAGCAUGGGGAGCGAACAGG
rnacentral:rRNA from 1 species